CUACGUGCCAGCAGCCGCGGUAAUACGGAAGGUCCGGGCGUUAUCCGGAUUUAUUGGGUUUAAAGGGAGUGUAGGCUGGAGAUUAAGUGUGUUGUGAAAUGUAGACGCUCAACGUCUGACUUGCAGCGCAUACUGGUUUCCUUGAGUACGCACAACGUUGGCGGAAUUCGUCGUGUAGCGGUGAAAUGCUUAGAUAUGACGAAGAACUCCGAUUGCGAAGGCAGCUGACGGGAGCGCAACUGACGCUGAAGCUCGAAGGUGCGGGUAUCGAACAGGAUUAGAUACCCUGGUAGUCCGCACAGUAAACGAUGGAUGCCCGCUGUUGGUACCUGGUAUCAGCGGCUAAGCGAAAGCAUUAAGCAUCCCACCUGGGGAGUACGCCGGCAACGGUGAAACUCAAAGGAAUUGACGGGGGCCCGCACAAGCGGAGGAACAUGUGGUUUAAUUCGAUGAUACGCGAGGAACCUUACCCGGGCUUGAA
rnacentral:rRNA from 1 species